rnacentral:rRNA from 1 species
AACGAACGCUGGCGGCAUGCCUAACACAUGCAAGUCGAGCGCCCGUAGCAAUACGGGAGCGGCGCACGGGUGAGUAGCGCGUGGGAACCUGCCCAGAGGUUCGGGACAACCGCGGGAAACUGCGGCUGAUACCGGAUGAUGCCUGAGGGCCAAAGAUUUAUCGCCUUUGGAGGGGCCCGCGUCGGAUUAGGUAGUUGGUGAGGUAACGGCUCACCAAGCCUGUGAUCCGUAGCUGGUCUGAGAGGAUGAUCAGCCACACUGGGACUGAGACACGGCCCAGACUCCUACGGGAGGCAGCAGUGGGGAGUAUUGGACAAUGGGGGCAAGCCUGAUCCAGCCAUGCCGCGUGGGUGAAGAAGGCCUGG